rnacentral:rRNA from 1 species
GUCUAUGGCCAUGCCACCCUGAACAAGCCUGAUGUCUGAUCUUGGAAGCUAAGCAGGGCCGGGCCUGGUUAGUACUUGGAUGGGAGACCACCUAGGAAGACCAGGUGCUGUAGGCA